CACCAGACUCCUACGGGAGGCAGCAGUGGGGAAUAUUGCACAAUGGGGGAAACCCUGAUGCAGCGACGCCGCGUGAGCGAUGAAGUAUUUCGGUAUGUAAAGCUCUAUCAGCAGGGAAGAAAAUGACGGUACCUGACUAAGAAGCCCCGGCUAACUACGUGCCAGCAGCCGCGGUAAUACGUAGGGGGCAAGCGUUAUCCGGAUUUACUGGGUGUAAAGGGAGCGUAGACGGCUGUGCAAGCCAGAUGUGAAAGCCCGGGGCUCAACCCCGGGACUGCAUUUGGAACUGUGUGGCUGGAGUGUCGGAGAGGCAGGCGGAAUUCCUAGUGUAGCGGUGAAAUGCGUAGAUAUUAGGAGGAACACCAGUGGCGAAGGCGGCCUGCUGGACGAUGACUGACGUUGAGGCUCGAAAGCGUGGGGAGCAAACAGGAUUAGAUACCCUCGUA
rnacentral:rRNA from 1 species